AUGACAAGCCCCUCGCCGCCCCCCUCUCCUCGCAGUCGCCCUCCGUGCCUGUCGGAGAGUCUCUCACUGGGCUGCCCCCGCCCCUCCGCCUGCGGCCGCGUCUGCGCCUGCGCAGGACUCGCUCCUAAUAAGGCCGGGGGCCCGCCCCUACCGCCCUACCGGAGGGUUCGCAUUCUCCCGCCUUCCCUCCGCCGCCCGGGCGAUUGGUCUGUCGGCUCUCGGCCGCGGGGGGAGGGUGCGGAGGACGGCCAAACGGCAGGCUGCGCCCCGCCCCCUCUUAAAGGGGCAGCGCUGUCAAGCCCGCCUCUUCGCUCCGUGUCUGAAUGGGACCGGGGAGGGAAGGCGGCUGGCUCCUUCUUCCGUCGUUCCCACGGGGAAGGGGACUCUCGGUGCGAGUCCCUCGGCCCGCUGUUACCGACAUUUUCCUUCUGGGGGUGGGGGGGAGCGCCCUGGCGCGGCGCGGCAAGUCGCGGGGCUUUAAAAGAGCAGCGGGCGUCCGGCGGCUUCUCGCUACGAGCUGCAGGAAGGCCGGCGGGAACUACGCUACCCAGCGUGCAGCGGGCGCGGCUCCCGGCAUGCUCGGCGGCCGUGUUCCCGCCAGGCCGCCGCCUCGACGCGGCCCGCGGGCCGGGCGUCCUCCUCCUCCUCCUCCUCCUCCUCCUCCCCUCCCGCGACGGCGGCGGCCUUCGCGCUCAGGGACGCCGCGGCGGGGGCAGAGGGCGAGGGCUCAGGUUCCGCGCAGUGUUGGACGCGGCGGCCAAGCGGAGGGGCCGAGGUUGUGCCACAGGGACUCUCAGGACGGGAUAACGUGGGACUCGGGGAGACGAAGCGGCCCUAAGGAGGACGAGCACGCGGAGAAUUCCAGCGGCAGGUGCCUUCGGGUCAGACGGGAGACGCCAGGGGGCUGCCCCCCCGGAUCCCCCACCCCCGCCCCGCCGUGUCCGGUGCGUCCGCAGGGGACCUCUGCAGAGCACUUUUGAAAACCCCUGUUUGUACGAGUGCCCCUCGACGUGCAAAGAGAAGUGCAGGCUCCGACCUGCAGGAAAUUUUGCAUUUCAAGGCAAAACAGGGCAAAACAGCCCUCCAGAAAACUCGGCCGCUUGGGAACAACAGAAAACCCUGCACGGGGCUGGGAGACGGCC
rnacentral:lncRNA from 12 species